ACAGCACUCAAAAAAGAGUA
rnacentral:tRNA from 1 species